AGACGCUCAAUUUGAGCUGGCUCCUUCGGGGUCCGCAUUGUAAUUUGCACAGGAUGCUUCGGGUGCGGCCCCUGUCUAAGUGCCCUGGAACGGGCCGUCAGAGAGGGUGAGAAUCCCGUCUGGGAUGGGGUGUCCGCGCCCGUGUGAAGCUCCUUCGACGAGUCGAGUUGUUUGGGAAUGCAGCUCUAAAUGGGUGGUAAAUUUCAUCUAAAGCUAAAUACUGGCCGGAGACCGAUAGCGAACAAGA
rnacentral:rRNA from 1 species